AGUGGCGCACGGGUGCGUAACGCGUGGGAAUCUACCCUUGGGUGCGGAAUAACAGUUAGAAAUGACUGCUAAUACCGCAUAAUGUCUUCGGACCAAAGAUUUAUCGCCCUUGGAUGAGCCCGCGUUGGAUUAGCUAGUUGGUGGGGUAAAGGCCUACCAAGGCAACGAUCUAUAGCUGGUCUGAGAGGAUGAUCAGCCACACUGGGACUGAGACACGGCCCAG
rnacentral:rRNA from 1 species